ACGUUAGCGGCGGACGGGUGAGUAACACGUGGGUAACCUACCUAUAAGACUGGGAUAACUUCGGGAAACCGGAGCUAAUACCGGAUAAUAUUUCGAACCGCAUGGUUCGAUAGUGAAAGAUGGUUUUGCUAUCACUUAUAGAUGGACCCGCGCCGUAUUAGCUAGUUGGUAAGGUAACGGCUUACCAAGGCGACGAUACGCAGCCGACCUGAGAGGGUGAUCGGCCACACUGGAACUGAGACACGGUCCAGACUCCUACGGGAGGCAGCAGUC
rnacentral:rRNA from 1 species